UAUUCCCCUUCCUUGUGCCCUUUCUCAGGCCCUCUAUAAAAGCACAGGAUUUGCUGUUCAUUGCACUGGCUAGAAAUGUUUUCUUCUGUAACAUGGGAGGAGGAACACAGGAUGUGGAGGUCUCUGUAAGUCAUGCAAAGUAGUAUAACCCCCACAGAUCCAAAACCUAAAAGAAUGUACAAUACAGAAAAUUGAGGAAACACAAGUUCAAGUACUUUGCAUUUCCACAGUGGCUUAUUGUUGUCAACCUGAUGCCCAAGCAUGAAAGGUGAAGAGCAUUAUCACAAGUGAGGGUAACACAGUACUGAUUUUCUUAAAUUUAUUUGUGUGUGUGACCCUUUGCUGUUCAAGCCCAUUUUCUUUUGUUCAGUCCACAGUCUCUUCUCUACCUUUUUCUAGAUGAGGAUGUGGAUGUGUUUCCCUCUACUUCAGAAGAAUCUCCAUUCAGUCAAGCCUUCUCCAGGAGGCGUCCCUUCAGCAGAACUUACACACGGAAGAAGCUCAUUAGCUAGUUAGGACGGGCCCCAGUUGAAGGAUUUACAACUACAAAUGCUGCUAAGCCUGACCAGAUCCUCUGCAUGUCCUGGACAGAAUUGCUCUGAGAGUGGUUUCUCUGGGCAUAGCAAUUCCAAACUCAACAUCAAGGUAUUCCAGCAGUGUGCCUAGAACAGGAAUGACCAGGGAUUGAUGGGACCAAAAAAGUUCAACAGGUGAAAUUGAAGUCAUCCAGGUCCCCAUGGGCUUAAGAGAAAUUGGCGACCUGGUCCCAAAUCUCCCUAGCCAGUUUUCAGAUUCCCUCUGGAAUACCUUGUGGUAAUCAAAUUCCCCUCAUGGAAUCUGUCUCUUCCUAGUCCUGCCCGUUGUUCGAGAGGUCAGGUGGACGGCUGUGCAGCUGGAGCUGUAACUCAGGCAACCUGAAACAGGGAACUAUAAGAUGGGAUCCCAUUACAGCAACACCCUGACUAUAACCUUGGCAGGUCAGAAGGCCACUGCCUUGCUUAUGAGAACAGAAAGGAAAGUACCUCAUGGGGUGCUUCAGAAGUUGCUAUAAGACUGGGAUGGCAUAAACAGUGCUUUGUAAACUGUGAAGCCCAGUGCGUGAAAUUAAAGGAUGCAUAUGCAAGAGAAUGUUUUGUCUUCUCUGUUUAACAAUAAAAU
rnacentral:lncRNA from 1 species